CAUACUAUAUUGCCUUUCAGGGUGGUUAAGCCGCCUCGGGUCCUUUUGGAGGAGAAAGGCGGGGUCAAAAUAUUUUAAAUCCAUCCCUCCAUCUAUCCACCCAUCAAUAAUCAGGCAAGCCCUUUGUCAACCGAGGGUUUGCCUGCGCAAUUUUGCUUCCAGCAGGUGGCGCGCCUGGAGUCCCAAAACUUCAGAAGUUUUUUUUGGGGGGGGGAGAUGGUGAAGGAGGAGCAAAAAAAAAAAGCCUCGUCUUCUUUCUCUCUCUUUCUCCUCCCUCUUCAAGUUUCCUUCUUUUCUCCCCCCCAACGUUAUUGAAUUAUUUAUAUGUUUCCGAUUUAACGCGGCUCUCCACGCAGGCGCAUCGAGGGGGGGGCGGGCUGGUGCGCGCAGCUCGAGUUUCAGGCAGUCGCGGGGAGUCUGUGCUUUGCCUGCCUGCCUGCCUGCCUGGAGCGCGCUUGGGGCCGGAGGGGGGGCCAGGCCGGGCGGAGGGGCCGGAUCUUCGGACCGAGGCGGUGGCAAGCGUGGCCGUUGCGUUCCGGACGCCGGUGGCUGGGGCCCCGCGGAUACUGAGAACAGGCUCCCCCCCCAACACCGCGGACCCAGCCUUAACUUAUGGUGGAUCUCUGUCUUCGAUUCCUACUGUUUUGACCGAAGUUGCUGAAGCUUGCAUGCUGCUUCAUGCAGUCACAAUCCACUUCCCAGUGGAGAGAGCGGUCUUUACUACAGCUGCUGCCUGGCUCAUCUCCUUCUGGCCUGUCUUCUAACAAGCGGCGUUCAUUUCUUUUUGCCUUCGUUGGACAAGAUAGCAGUGCAAGAGCUUCGAACUUCAUGGCUCUGUGGAUGAUGUUUGACGCCUUAGUAUCAAUGUGGGAGUGGCGUAUAAAUUUCUAGGUUUAAUUUUUCUUCCCCACAACAGGACUUUCUCAGAGGCAAGGGCCUCAGCCAUCAGAUUCGCAGAUUAAAUCUGUAUUGACCUACCAGUGGCCACAUGCAGACGAGAAGCACGCUAGAUGCAAGAUACAGAGAGGAGGGAAAAAAAUCAUGUGCUGUGACAAUCUGACUUCUUUUGUCGCUCGAGGGAGCACCUCUGGAAGAAAAGAUACAACAAACCAGACCCUCUAGUUUGAGUUGCAGAACUGUUUCUUGUACCGAACACCUAGGCUGUUGGGUCUCUUCACCGCUUCGUGUGCUCUCAGUUUGCCUCUUGGGACAUUCCCAGCACUUUCCAGCAGCAUAAGAUGAACAGGGAUAGUCAAAAGCGCUGCUGGUCCUCUUCCCUUUUUGUGCGUCUCGGAACACAGCUUGAAAAGCCACAGCUGUGGUGCAAGAGCCUUCUUUUCAAGAACACAGCUUGAAAAGCCACAGCUGUGGCGCAAGAGCCUUCUUUUCAACUGAGGCCGUUUCUGAGAACUGGAGCCAAAUUGCUUCCAUGCUCUGAGCAGCCCCUGACAGCACUCUCGCCAUUCCUUGAAGCUCUGUAUAAACAUCCUUCUUACCGUCAAGGAUGCAGCACAAUUGUUCUAUUGUUUAGAUUUCAGCUU
rnacentral:lncRNA from 1 species